rnacentral:rRNA from 2 species
UUCCGACCUGAGCUCAGUUGUGAUUACCUGCUGAACUUAAGCAUAUCAGUAAGCAGAGGAAAAGAAACUAACAAGGAUUCCCGUUAGUAACGGCGAGUGAAA